rnacentral:lncRNA from 1 species
GGGGGGCUGGGUGGACGCGCUGAGCCCCACCCCGGGCCUUCUCAUCCUAAGGCCACGUGGCGCCGCGGAGGUGGACGCCCCACAGGCACGUCACUUGGGGAAGAUCCUUCCCGGAACGACGGAGGAGCCGAUGUGAAAGCCACUGCUCAUGCACCGAUUGGGCAGCUCCGCUUACUAACGUCCGUCCGUCUGUCCGAGAGGCCUGCGCUCGCUCGUCCCCGCAGGGUGCCGUUAAUGUACACCCGGUGCAUUCAAGGCUGUAGAACUGGAACACAGGGCGCUAAACCUACCCGGAGAAGACUGUAAACAGUAAGUGCAAAAAUUAUGUGUGGAAUUCUAUACACCGUUGAAAUACGAGAUCCAGCUUUGAUGAACUGACUACACUCAAAUAUGGAAUGUGAUAGCCUUCACAUAAAAAUUCUGUUAAACUCCCUAAAAGGAUUGUAUGUUCACCAAUUUUCACACAUCUGCCAUCCAUCCAUCAUCCAUCCAUCCAUCCAUCCAUCCAUCCGUUUCUCUACAUAGAAAGCACAGUGUGCUGGAGAGAACACAGGCUUUGAAAUAAAAUACAACUGUGCUGCCGUUUACUAGCCCUGUGCCUGUGAUCAUGUUACUCGAUUUCUCUGUGCAUCAUUGCAUAAUGGAAGGAAUAAUAGUAAUAAUAAUACUUUACAGGGUUUAGAUCUUAAUAAAUAUUAUUUCUUUUCCUCUAAUUGCUACCCCCCACCUCUGGCCCCUUAGACUUUAUAGAAAAUAAGGACUCAUUUCAUUAAUAUAUUAACCAAUUUUAAAAAGUAAGUAUUUAUAUGCACGCAUGUGUUUAUUUUUAUGUAUAGAUACAUGACACCCUAAAAGUAAAUUCACAAAAUACUUAAAAAUACGUUUGUAACUAGGAAACAUCUAUUAAGAACAUUAUUGAUUUUGCUCCUCUUUGUCAUCUGACAUCACUGAGUAAUGAUUUUAGCAGAUUAAGAAAGAAUUUGAGUUUUUUUUAACUCAGAGACCAUAUUGAAUUACUCUGGACCUUGCCUAGGAAAUGUAAAACCAUAAGAAUUAAAUGAUAUUUUGAAACUCAAAAGCUUUGUCUGUGAUUGGCAGACAAGUUAGACUAUACUCUUGUGAAGAGAGCUCAUUUAGACAUUUUUCAUUAACAAUGGAAUUUUAAAUAAUCCUGGUUAAUGAAUAGUCUUAUAUAUGUCUGAUUGUCAGUUUACCAACAUGACACACAUUUGGAUAUGGAUGGUGUAUAUGGAAAUGGUCUUAUUGAACUGUUUCUAGCAUUCUAUUUUAAUAAUUAGACAUUCUCCAUCCUUAGAGAAAAAGUGUAUUUAGACAAAAAUAAAAGAAUAUACAUGAGUGUUGCAACUGAAGUCAGAAUUUAGGUUCGUUCCAGUCGGUAGGGGACAG